rnacentral:lncRNA from 1 species
UACUUUUUAUAUACAACACAAUAAUCAAUCAUACACAAUGUAAGACCAUAAAUUAAAAUUGUAAAAAUACAUUAACGCAAAAAAGAUACUUACAAAUAUCAAAUUAAUAAUUUAAAUGUUAUUAUCUCUAUAAUAGUAAAAUACAAAUGGUUAAUAUGGAUAUGUAUAGAAAUAUUUUCAAGAAUAAUCUCAAUCGUUAAGUCUUCUACAUGUUCUGAUCAAAUUGAAAAAAAAAACAAAUUUUAAGUGCACUUUAUCGCAAUUUUAAUCCUCUUUAUUUGGAGAUUGUAAUUUGUAAGUGCACUUUAAAUACAAUUUACAUCAACCUCAAUUCCUUGAAGUUCUUCUGCAUCGUGCAUGUAAUGCACUCAUAUUAUUAUUAGCAAGGUCUUUUACCUGAAAGGAGAAAUACAAUAAGUUAGCAAACGUUAUAUAAAAUCGUCAUCCAGUAAAAUUGAAGUCCAACGCUUUAUUCAAGAAGGAAAGGUAGUAGAGCUUAAUUGAUUGAUGGAAUUAAAAAAUUAACAUGUGUAUUAAAAAAAAUUAACAAAUUGUGUUUGACGGCUUACACAGAUUAAAAUGCACAUAUCUUAGCAUCAAAAGGCAAAAAAAUCUUCGAUCAAGCAUUUUUUUUUUUUNGGAUUAUUGCAAUCAAUAGCCUAGAAAACCUUAUAAUAAUUUUUUGCAAUUUACACAUAAUCAUUCACAAACAAAAGUAGAUAUGAUGACCGUAUGCGAACACAUAUGACAUUUCAAGAACUCCACCGGUAUAUAAAAUUUGUCAUGCUUAAACACAGAAAAGUGAGAGUGAGAGAGAAAUUUAAUGCUCCAAAUGCUAAAUGAUGGAACAACAAUAAAUAGAAAAUUUCUAGAUUUGUAGGAAGGAAAGAAUGAGUAAUGGAAACAAUGAAAUACAAAGAAUAAAUUUUUAAUAUUUCUCAAACAUUAAAAAUUGUAGAAAACGAACAAAUCUUAAUACAACAAAAGAGAAACUGAGGUCAAAGUAACUAUAUGCCAACCAUCCUAUCCAACAUGAAUUAUGAGAAUGAACCUCCUCAUGUACAUCACCAGUUGCCUGUUCGCAUAAAGCAUCAGUUAAACAGCAAACUCACAAAUUAGAUAAUACAAAUUGUUUAUGAAAUAUCCUACAUGAUAGUUUUUUGCUAACACAAUCAUAUCAUAAAAAUUAAUUUAUCACAAUAGGCAUAAAAAAAUGACGGUGGAGGAUUUAUUGGCAAAAAGAAAUUCAAUAAACAUUUGAGGCCUAUUAUAAGAAAAAAUCAACAUCAUUUCAAUAUCUCAAUCUAAUCGCAUCACUAUAUCAUCAAUAACUUUUAUCAAUGAAAAACAAAGAACAAAAUAGCAUGAAGAUUCGUCAGAAGAAUACACGUAUUAAGUUGCAAAGAUAAAAAAAAAAUCCACAGAUAAAAUUGAAAGCAUAAAACCUCAAAAAAUUGUGAAAAACCUCAAAAGUCCACCAAAAUUACUUGUAAACUUCACGUAAAACAUUAAAAUCUUAUAUUUAGCAAAAUCAAGAAAUUAAUCAAGAAUUUUAAAAAAUUAGAUAAAAUAUAAAAUAAAUAGAAGAUGCUUGAGAAAGAGGAGUACAAUGGUGGCAGUUCAGCUGGAUGGCGGCGGUCAAAUAGCACUGCAAGGCGCUAGACUGGUGCGGUGGUCACUGGCGAGGUCGCGACUCAAUAAUGUGGCUGAUGAAAUUCGAUCGAAGCGGCACUAACAAUAACGAUGUUCCAACUGUGGAUGACAAGUAACGGCAGCGAGCGGAGCCCGGAGAGGCCGAACAUGGGAGCGUGUGUCGCUCAAAGAAGUGAGAAGCAGCUGUGUUUUGGAGAAAGACAGAGUUGCAGUUGCGGAAAAAUUAUAAUGUAAUGGGUUGGUUUUUUUAGAGAAGAUAAUGGGUAGUUUGGUGAAGAAAAGGUAAUGGGUAGUUUGAAAAUAAUGGGUUGUUUAAAAUUUUAAGAGAAGAUAACUGACUAAUUAUCUCAAAGUAAUGGAAGUCAGCCACGUUUUUUCAAAUUGCAUAUGAUUAUUGGCGGUAAAAUGUUGCCGUUAGAACUGCUGCUUUAUAUAUAAUAUAGA